UGAAAGCUCCAAAGAGGAGGAUGUACUGCAAAAUGCAAAGAAAAAGUAUAUGCAGGAUGCUAAUGUGGAGAUGGCUGAUGCUCCAUCAUCAAAGAAAGCGCCUCAAACUCGGCUGCUCCCCAAACUUCGUUUACGGGCAACUUAACCUUCACUAUUGAAGAAAGUGACGUCAGAAUUAAUUUCUUCAAAGACGCGGCUGAAGUUGUUGAGGUUCGUUAAUAAGGGAUGAUCGAUUUGCAGGCUACGUGCAUGUUGAAUUUGUUACUCGUGAGGCUACCCAAGAGUUAAUGGUGAACCAUUGCUUGACCAUCCAGUAAAACUUGAUUUAGUUAAGUAAAAAGUAAAUACACUCUCGAUACUGGGUAUGAUUCUUUGCCAUCAAGUGUUUUAACACCCAGUUAGAUUCUAACCGACAUUUGACUGAGAAUUCAUAUUUGUUUCUGUAGCAAUGAGAGAUCUUUCCAAAAGAGUGCGCAGACUUCAGCACUAACUGCGUUUAUAAGCGGAAUACUCUUGGGAAACUCUUUGGCCAAUGUGAGGAGGUUUCAAGGAUUUUUCUUCCUAAAGAUUUUGAGUCACGUGAGACAAAAAGAUACGGCAUGAGAGUUAGCUAUUGGUUACAAGUUUACUCCCCACCAUGACAACAGCAAGGGGCAUGAGAAUUAGCCGUUGGUUGCAAGUUUACUCCUCACCGUGACAACAAGGUGGCCAGUUACAAAUUUGCAGCAUUUAAAUGCAGUGAGUGUAUGGACUUGAUGAAAACAACCUAGAAAUAGUUUUUAGUUUAUGUGUAGUCGUUUCUCUUUGUAACUUUUGUGGAUCGGUUUUGAUGAUUAGUUUAUGUUUUUAAUUAGUAUUUAAACCGAAAACUUAUGUAUGGUUUUUGGGUUAUUAUUGUUUACAUCAUUUGUCUU